CAAGUCGAACGCGAAAGCCCCCUUCGGGGGGCAAGUAGAGUGGCGCACGGGUGAGUAACACGUAGGUAAUCUACCUUUGGAUGGGGAAUAACAACCGGAAACGGUUGCUAAUACCGCAUAAUGCAGCGGCACCUAAUGGUGACAGUUGUUAAAGCGGGGGAUCGCAAGACCUCGCGUCUGAAGAGGAGCCUGCGGCGGAUUAGCUAGUUGGUAAGGUAACGGCUUACCAAGGCUAUGAUCCGUAGCCGGCCUGAGAGGGCGGUCGGCCACACUGACACUGACAUACGGGUCAGACUCCUACGGGAGGCAGCAGUCGGGAAUUUUGGGCAAUGGGCGAAAGCCUGACCCAGCAACGCCGCGUGAAGGAUGAAAUCCUUCGGGAUGUAAACUUCGCAAGAACAGGAAGAAUAAGUAAGGGUUAAUAUCUCUUACGAUGACGGUACUGUUUGUAAGCUCCGGCUAACUCCGUGCCAGCAGCCGCGGUAAUACGGGGGGAGCAAGCGUUGUUCGGAUUUACUGGGCGUAAAGGGCGCGUAGGCGGCCACCGCAAGUCGACUGUGAAAUCUCCGGGCUUAACCCGGAAAGGUCAGCCGAUACUGCGGGGCUAGAGUGCAGAAGGGGCAACUGGAAUUCUCGGUGUAGCGGUGAAAUGCGUAGAUAUCGAGAGGAACACCUGCGGCGAAGGCGGGUUGCUGGGCUGACACUGACGCUGAUGCGCGAAAGCUAGGGGAGCGAACGGGAUUAGAUACCCCGGUAGUCCUAGCCUUAAACGAUGAAUGCUUGGUGUCUGGGGUUUUAUAGUCCCCGGGUGCCGUC
rnacentral:rRNA from 1 species